GCAUAUCAAUAAGCGGAGGAAAAGAAACCAACAGGGAUUGCCCUAGUAACGGCGAGUGAAGCGGCAACAGCUCAAAUUUGAAAUCUGGCUCUUUCAGAGUCCGAGUUGUAAUUUGCAGAGGGCGCUUUGGCGUUGGCAGCGGUCCAAGUUCUUUGGAACAGGACGUCACAGAGGGUGAGAAUCCCGUACGUGGUCGCUAGACUUCGCCGUGUAAAGCCCCUUCGACGAGUCGAGUUGUUUGGGAAUGCAGCUCUAAAUGGGAGGUAAAUUUCUUCUAAAGCUAAAUACUGGCCAGAGACCGAUAGCGCACAAGUAGAGUGAUCGAAAGAUGAAAAGCACUUUGGAAAGAGAGUCAAAUAGCACGUGAAAUUGUUGAAAGGGAAGCGCUUGCAGCCAGACUUGCCUGUAGUUGCUUAUCCAGACUUUUGUCUGGUGCACUCUUCUGCGGGCAGGCCAGCAUCAGUUUGGGCGGUUGGAUAAAGGUCUCUGUCAUGUACCUCUCUUCGGGGAGGCCUUAUAGGGGAGACGACAUGCAACCAGCCCGGACUGAGGUCCGCGCAUCUGCUAGGAUGCUGGCGUAAUGGCUGUAAGCGGCCCGUCUUGAAACACGGACCAAGGAGUCUAACAUCUAUGCGAGUGUUUGGGUGUCAAGCCCAUACGCGUAAUGAAAGUGAACGGAGGUGGGAACCUUUUAGGUGCACCAUCGACCGAUCCUGAUGUCUUCGGAUGGAUUUGAGUAAGAGCAUGGCUGUUGGGACCCGAAAGAUGGUGAACUAUGCUUGAAUAGGGUGAAGCCAGAGGAAACUCUGGUGGAGGCUCGCAGCGGUUCUGACGUGCAAAUCGAUCGUCAAAUUUGGGCAUAGGGGCGAAAGACUAAUCG
rnacentral:rRNA from 1 species